rnacentral:misc_RNA from 1 species
CGAAGAGAGAUCGAAGACGAAGAUUUUCUGACGCAGUGCGGGCACUGGAUGGAAAAGACAGAGAAGAGAACAACCCACCGGAAGGGCAUACCUCAAGGAGCACCAAUCUCCCCCGGCAAACAUCUAUCUGCACGAAGCCGACCUAUGGAUAAAAAGAAAAAUGAAAUAUGAAAUAAAAAAGAUGCUUUGAGAGUGUGAGAUACGCGGACGGGGAGUACGCAGCCGAACAACCGCAGGGGCUUCCAGCAGUGAUAGCUGAACUAACCAGAUGGGCCGCCCAAAACCUGGAGCUGACAUUUAAAUCGGAAAUCAACGUCGGAUCCCGGCUAUCCGAAAAACGUAGACUGAAGCGGAGGAUCACGAAAUGCAACACAACAAGGGGCGAACCAAGCGCUUGCGCGAAGGAAGAAGCGAAUCAAUCAGAAUGGAAACAGGGAGGAAAGGCGAAAGAGAGAUUUUCGAGCUUGCAAGCAGCAAGCAACAACGGCUUUUCAGCCGUUGCGCGCUAGCUUGUAGUUUAGGGGUAUAGUAGGGGUGCCCUUUUCAAAAACUUAUUAAAACAAC